AUGUCCAAGCGGCAGUUGAGGCUUCAGCCAUGUUGCCACAAGGCCAAGCGUAGGCCGCCGCCGCAGCAGCAGCAGCAGCCGCAGCCGCGACAGCAUGUCUAUCUCGUGGUGGACGACUGGGAAACUGGAUACAGCGUCCGCAAGAUAGACGUCGACGACAUGGACCCUCCUCACGCCGGCGCCGACCUGGACGACGACGAGGCGGAGCCCCUCCCAGAUCCUCCGGUUGUGCGCUUCUACGGCCGCCACUGCCGCCUGUCGCAUUUCGGCGCGUACGGCACCAACAUACUCGCCAUGCUGGGCCACAGCGAUGCCGCCACCGGGGCCUUCCCCGUAUUCGACACAAAAACGCUGGGGCUCACCCUCUGCCCCCAUCCGGACGUCCACAGUGCCCAGCCCUUGUUCGCAACAGUCGCUGGCGAGCUUUACUUGACGGUGGGAUACUCCACGUUUGUGCUCGACUCCUUGCCACUCCCCGGACCAUACGACGACGAAGACAAGCAGUGCUCUUGGAUCAAAAGCCCAAGGAUCUUUGCUCCGUUCAAUUCCAUUGGUGUUUGCCGCCACAAAGGCGGCAUCGGCCACGUCUGCUCCUGCGAUGCCCCGCCCCUGUCUGAUUACGCUACAACGUUGUCGACCAUGCCGGCUUGGAAGCUUGGCGAGGACCAGCUCUUCGACGCGUACGACGACAGGCACCUGGGAGCCACCCUUCUCUACCUGGGCGGCAUCAGCGACUACUGCCUCAUAGAGUCUCGCCUGCACAAGGAUCAGGAGCCUUUAGGACCCUGUGAUGGGCCACGCCGCCGUGUGCUGCGCGUCACCAAGUUUGGUCUCAAGUAUGAUAAAAGUGGAGAGCUCAGGACGACGCGGCAAACUGUGCGCUCCUACCAGAUGACCGAAGGACAUGAAUUUAAUGAGUCUUGCUUAACUCCUGUGGCUUUCUGGAUGUAG
rnacentral:rRNA from 1 species